UCAAAGUCCAGCAGGAAAUCCUGCCCUCUGGGUUGCACUUCCUGGUUGAGCCUCCGACGUCUCAAGCAGCAUUGUUUUAAUGCUUUGAUGAAGCUCAGCACGCUGCCGAAAUCUCCGUGUAUUUUUUUCUUUUCUUUUUUUUUGCAUAUGAGAGAAGGGACAACAAAUUGCAGUUUUAUCCAUUUGUAUUAUUUCUUUAGAAAACUCAACACUCUUUUUGUUGGAGGUGGGGAAAUGAGAAGGUGAUGUUUUGUUUUGCUUUUUUUCCUUUUUUUUUUUUUAAAGGAGGAGUAGAUGAGUGUGCUCCUUAAGGAGGAAGUUUGUCUUUUGAAACAUACCACAUGCUUGAAGCACAUUUGAGCUCCUGCAUGAACAACAGUAAGGUAGCAGAUGGUAGAAAUAUUCGUUAUUAAUUCAAAAAAUACUGCGGACCUACAAUGCGCCAAGCAUGUCUCCUGACACUGGGGAUAAGCAGGGAGCAACAACAAAAAGACAAAGUUCUUCCACCCUGAGGCUUAUGUUCUAGGUCUCUGUGGAAAGAAACAGAAAUCACAAAAGCAAUUAAGAGAGCUCAGAUAAUGGACAGCAAGACCCCCCACAGACAGCAAGACCCAUCUCUCUGCUUUCUCUUCCUCCUCAGCCUACUCAACAUGAAGAUGACAAGGAUGAAGACCUUCCCGAUGGUCCACUUCGCUUAAUGAACAGUAAAUAGUAAAUUUUCUCUUCCUCAUGAUGUUUGAAAUAAUAUUUUCUUUUCUCUAGCUUAUUUUAUUGUAACAAUACAGUAUACAAUACACACACAAAAUAUGUGUUAAUCAACUGUUUAUGUUAUUGCUAAGGCUUAUGGUUAACAGUGGGCUCUUAAUAGCUACAUUGUGGUGGAGUCAGAAGUUAUAUACAGAGUCUCGACUGUUUGGGGGUUUGGUGCCCCUAAUCUUUGCAUUGUUCAAGGGACAACCACAGUAUUAUUUCUGUUAGACAUGUGUCAGCACUCUACGCUGUUACUGUGACUUGCAAUUUUUUAAAUAUCCCUUAUAACUGUAGGAUAACUCUCUGUAUAACUCUAGUGAAUCCCCAGUAAGUGCAGAUUAAAAUGGUGACCUGUAUCUUUAAAGAAAAUUAAAUCUUUAUACAUGCUCAUGA